CCUCUGUUCUCCUUCCCCCUCUACUCUUUCUUAUGUGUGGUUUCAGGUCAGUGUGCAGCUGGAAGCCUCUCCCGCCUUCCUAGCUGUCCCAGUGGAGAAGGAACAAGCGCCUCACUGCAUCUGUGCAAACGGGCGGCAAACUGUGUCCUGGGCAAUAACCCCAAAGUCAUUAGGAAAUGUGAAUUUCACUGUGAGUGCAGAGGCACUAGAGUCUCAAGAGCUGUGUGGGACUGAGGUGGCUUCAGUUCCUGAAUAUGGAAAGAAAGACACAGUCAUCAAGCCUCUGUUGGUUGAACCUGAAGGACUAGAGAAGGAAACAACAUUCAACUCCCUGCUUUGUCCAUCAGGUGGUGAGGUUUCUGAAGAAUUAUCCCUGAAACUGCCACCAAAUGUGGUAGAAGAAUCUGCCCGCGCUUCUGUCUCAGUUUUGGGUGAGUCUCCAGCCCCUAGUGGAUCCAGGCAUUAACAGCUUCUAUUAUACUAUUUUUAUUUCCCAUAAAUAUUUACUAAAAAUAAUACUAUAAUUUUAACUUCUUUCUUUU
rnacentral:sRNA from 1 species